UCAGUCUAAAACCAGCCGAGACAGAGAACUGGUACAAUAUGUCCUAUAUUAUUUUAAUGUUAAAUUACCUAUAAAUUGUCAGAGGGUGUGUUGAAUAAGGGCAAAUAUGCACGAAAUGUGGAGGACAAGGCAGAGAGAAAUUGGAAGCGUUUAAUGCAGCUGCUUGCGUGACAAGGAACUAAACACAGACACCGAGGUGUCGCCUUCACCACCGUACAUCCACCCUAAUAAUCCGUUUACUGAGGCCAUGGUUAGAAGAGUUAGAUUAUUAGCUGGUAUAACUUUAGCAUUGGGAGAUUUCAGACAACUUUUGGGCCGCAGCACUACACGUAGUAAUCUCUAGGUUAUUGAGAAUGCGGCCCGCACCUCUCAUCAAUGCGACGCAACACCUUACUUUGCUGUAGCUGGAGACGCGCUGUGUGACAUGUUUCCAUCUAAAAUUCAGACACCGUGCUUUAAUUUUUCUGACACAGGCGAACACAUGUUGUUUCUUUAUGAGGCGGUAGAAACCUGUAUCAAACAGACAGUGACUCGAUGGAGUUCAAUAUUUUAGACAAACUGUGAUGGAUGGAAUACCUGAAGGAAAACAAUGCGAGGAAACCCAGAUUUAGAAAGGGUUUGGUCACGCUGAGUGGGACAGACAUUUGGCACACCAUAUGAAGGAAUAUUUGGAGGAGAAAAAAGAACAAAUAGAACAUGAAAAGAAACAGCUUGAUGCAUUAGACAAAAAACUUAAAACUGCCCAAUUAACCGCAGUAAGAUAGAAGAGGAAUUGUAAAAAGCCUGAUAAAAAAAUGAUCACUGCAGAGGUUGACAGAGGAGCAAAUUGGAUGAUGGCUCCUGUUACAUCUCCGCCCACUUCAGCAGCUAUGGGGUGGUUAUACCUAGCUCCUACCAAUGUAUAUCAACUGGCUCCACCUAUCCAGUGGGAGUCACACCCAUAUAGUCCUCGUGGCCGGGCCAGGGGUGGGCCGUUUGGAAAGAGGACCGGACGAAGGGGUGGACAGGAAGGAGCUGGUUCCUCCUCCUACCUAGUAUGUGGGCAGACGGAUCAUGGACCGCAGCUGCCCUCAGCGCUAUGGGGCACGUCCAGAAGGAGCUCCUCCAUCUUUGCAUCAAACUCCUCUGACACAACAAGCUCCUGUCACCGCACAAUGCAGCACUCAUACCACAGUGACACACCCACAGAGAGGUCCAGACUGAGAAAAAGGCAGAACCCAUUGUUCCAGUGGAAUUAAAGGGACACUUUGCUAUUUCUUGUGAACACUGAAGCCACGUUUUCCACGUUGAACAUUCCUCCAUCCAAUAAAAUAUCUUCUCUGAUGGGGUGAAACAGACUCUGGCUGUGUUUCUGUAGAGGAGCCUUGUGUGGACAUUUAUCAGGGCUUCAUUGAGCCUGAAACCCCUUCUAGUGCUGGGAUGAGGUCCAGUUUCCUUAUCUGGAAACCCUGGAUUCGGGCCCUGGCUCCUUGUGGCCUAAUACCUGCUCUGCCAUGUGUGACUUUGUUUUGUGACAGAAAUUAGAAAACAAACAGAUUGGUUUCAGGAACAGUUUGAGGAAUAGUUUGAGGAAUACUUUAGAAAAGAAAAUAUGGACUAUUUCCUCUAAAACAUUUAUGAAAUGUCUGAUGAAGCUGUAUCUCACAUAUCUCUACCCUUGCACUUAAGUCAUCAGACUAAAGAACAGGGAGGAGUUGUAACACGUUCCCUUGCAGCCACUGAUUAGCAACUUACUGCUGUUCCAGCCCUUUCUUUCUCUGCCUCCACUAACAUUUACUGUGUUGAAGCUAUUGACUCUGCCAUUUUAGAACAUCAUCAGCUAUCUAGAUAACACGGCAGAGAAUUAACUGAUCACUCUCUGACUGAGGCUGUUUAUCAAGUUGUCUACCACAUGUCUUCCCAUUUGGCAAAACCAGUACCCACACUCUCCUGCUGCAGAGGUGGGAAUUGCUGACACCAUUGAGGGGCUGUUAAAAGCAGGCAUGUUAGAACCCUGCCAGUCUGCUUGGAACACCCCCAUUCUGCCUGUAAAAAGGAAAGUCAUAGGUAACUGCAAUAUGGCUCACGAUUUAACAUAAAUUAAUAGUUCUGACAGCUGACUAGCUGAACAGUACAGGGAUGUCUUCUCGUUCACUUAUAGGAAUCAACAACUGAGAGACACCAGGUUGCCUCAAGAGUUUGCCUUAUCCCUGGGUCAGAUUCUCAAAUCAGGCUCUCAAACUGCAGCUCCAGGACUGCAUGUUGCCAGCAGAGGUGGUUUCUGAUUACAGCCCGAACAGCAACCGCGUGUAUUGAAGUUACCAGGUUAACAGGUGUGGAAGUGAGUAAAAUGAAAAACUGAUUGAAGAAUAGAGGUUACUUUUUAGGAACAGUUAUUUCAACAACAGGAACCCAUAUUUUUUUUGCACAAAAAUCUGCCAUUUUACAUCAUCCCAAACAAAGAUUUGUUGUCAUUUUUGGGUUAGACUGCCAAAAGCUGAAACUAUGUCCCUGAGUACGCUGGUUUGACAGCACCACUGAGUCUUUUGGUAAAAAGCAGAGUUGGAAAAAUCUUAAUGCAUCACUUAAUUGUAACACAGACGCGAGGAAUCGUUCAUUAAGUUUAAACAGCUGCUGUAGUUUGCUGCACAAUUGCUCUUUUCAGGAUUACUGUCUGCCUUUUGAUUCAGAUGUUUCUGUAACAACAAGGUUGUUGCAGAAAAAGCGGGAUAGAAGUGAUUCAGUAUGUUAGCUGUAUGCUAGAUAAUAUGGAAAAAGACAUGUUGAUUUGAAACAAUGGUUGAGAAGUGGAUUUGUGACUGCAGCACAAAAGCCAAUCAAACAUGAAAAUUAAAUGAGAUUUAUGGCUCGAGCCUUGUUGUUGCCUAAAGGUAGCAGGUUAUGCACGCAGCUUCAAUUUAGUAAGUGUUGAAGCUGAGAACUUUCAACAUCUAAACUUGGAAAAAUCAAACAACAUCACAAAAGGGGUUCUCCCCUUGAGGAACUUACUGUGUGGAAGAGAAAAGGCCCUGGUGAUAAAAGUGGUAAAGCCACUAAACAUGAGAGAACACAUUUCGGAAAAGGCACAUGGAACAUCACAUGUAAGUAUUUUGCAGGUGCCUAUCAAUCCAGAACAAUGGUGGCACCCAUAUUUAAAAGAUAUGAUGAACUGUUCCAUCUGUGGAUAAUUUAAUCCAAAACUUACGAUGCAUUCAUCUCCAGGUAAGUUUAAAAUUACACCCAACCUGGGAAGGAGAUCAUCAUUGCCUACACAGACAUGGUAUCCACAGCGAGAGGAUAUAGAUACAGGUUGGUCUGUGUGGAUGGAUAUUCAGGAUGGCCUGAGGCAUGGCCCACAAGAAAGGAGGACAGUAAGUAUGUGGUAAAAUGUUUAAUUAAUCAUUACAUUCCCAGACAUGGCUUCCCGGAAAAGAUAAGAUCUGAUAAUGGAACUCAUUUCAGGAGCAAAGAUUUGCAACAGGUGGAGCAAAUGUUGGAACUACAACAUGAUUUCGGUACAGUAUAUCAUCCUCAAUCACAGGGCAAGGUUGAAAUAGUGAACCAAACAUUGAAAACAAAAUUGGCUGAAAUCAGUGCACAGACCAAAUUAAAUUGGGUGGAUGCAUUGCCAGUUGCUUUAAUGUCUGUCAGGAUGUCUGUUAAUCAGUCCACAGGUUGCACCACACAUGAACUACAGACUGGGACCAGCACAGUGGAUACGAGGACAAACAGGUGAAUCGGCAUGAUUAUCUUCUAACACGUUCUUUAAUGAGUUGCAGACCCUAGCGGCAGAAUUCUCCUGAGGAUCUGAGGGAACAAGAGGCUCCCCUGUGGUACCAGGAGUCACUGGGUGUUGCUUCAGGUCAUCAAGCGGAAGUGGCAGGAACCCAGAUUCACAGGCCCGUUCCAAGUCCUGGAAAGAACAUCUUGUGCGGUUCGUCUGAGAGGAAAAGGAGAAAUCUGGUAUCAUUGGAGCCAGUCUGCACCAGCUGAGGAGCCUACAAAGUCACAGGCACCAGAGGUGUCUUAAAGGGGCAUAAUAAAUCCCCUGGAGGCUCACCGGUGUGAUCGCACUGAGCUGAAGAGGAUUUAUCCACUCCAGAGACUUUUUCUUUUGGUUUUCAAGAGGAUUUAUCCACUACAAGGAGUCAUUAUAUUCAACUAAUCAACAGAUAAAUUCAGGACUGGGAAUUGGAACAUAUGUGACUCUUGAUUUUGAUUAUGUGAUUAUUGAAUGUGGUGUCUUUUCUGUCAAUUAAUCUUUGGAGCAUUGGUUAUGCUAUUGUUGUUUUAUAUACUCGAUGAAUGACUUUGAAUCAACAUUUCUGAGUAAAUCCCACAGCGUGUGAAGGUUAUAAGCUCCUGGGUAAGUGGAAUUGAUCUGAUCCAAAAAAUAAAAAUGGUGAUGCAUGGUUGGGAUGUUAGUUUUAAAUGGAAAUAUGGGGGAGGAGGUUUAAUAAUGACACUGGUGGGAAUAAUUGUGUUCUUGACGUGUGAUGUUUUCCAGAGUGGUGAGCACCCCUCCAGUCCCAAUCUCCGCAGUCGUCGUCAUCUACUCCGGAAAAUGAUUGGAAUAUCGGACACAUGCAUUAAAGACAUGGAGAUGCAGUUCCACCAGUUCCAACUGCUGCUACCUAUCUUUAUCUACAUCUACUCCAACAACAAUUAUCAUCUUGUGCUCUUGCCAUCCACUAAACCAAAAAUUGUG